GCCGGAGUGGUGGAAUGGCAGACACGAACGACUCAAACUCGUUUGCCGAAAGGCGUGUGGGUUCGACUCCCACCUCCGGCA
rfam:Chloroflexi bacterium OLB13 TZ13_contig000133, whole genome shotgun sequence.